rnacentral:lncRNA from 1 species
UGCAGGUCAGAGCAAUUGUUGAGGGCUGUGCUGUGAGGGCUUGGGGGUGCUACCAGGCUCUUGCAGCCCUGAUCAGCUGCCAUGAGCCUCACAGGUCCCUUUCUAACCUGGGGCCCGCAGUCUCUGCCCCAGUGCUGCUGUAGGGUGCUGGUCUGUGCCCUGGGGCAGAGCUGCUGGGCCCAGCCCUGUCACUGAGGUGCAACCUGGGCUGGGCCUGGCCCUGGCUCCCCUCCUGGGGCUGAUCCCAUCCCUGCUCCCGGCCCGGGCAGGCUCCUGGCCCUCAGCAUUGCCUGACAGGAACACAGAAAUCUGCACCUCAAGAAAAUCCCCAAAUAUUCACAGUCCUGCUCUGGAAAUAUUUACUGACCAAGUGUGGAAGUCCUGCUUCAGACAAACAGCUUAGUGGCCUCCCUUUUCUUCCUCAGCACAUCUACCGCAAUGUGUGCUAACACAAGCUCGCCUUCCCUGUCUGGCAGUCAAUAUAUCAACCUUCUGGAAAUGGUGAAUGGAAACUUAGAAAUAAGGAGCCAUGCACAGGGAGUUCGGAGAUGCAGCUCAGGCUGAUGGAGAUGAUUGUGUUUGGGCUCCUUGGCUAGUAAGAUCUCCUUUAUCUGUGACUUCUUGCCUCCUGGAGAGCAGGACUUCAGGAACGGCAAAACACUUGAGGAAAGAUGAAGAGCAAUUGGAGGAACCCUGGAGGAAAAAAACAAGAAUGAUCAAAAGUCUAAAAACAGCCAUGACCUUUGGUGUAUGGCUGAAAGAAUGGUUCCUUAAAUGUGAAGGGGGGAACUCUAAGGGAGACAUAAUGUUCUUCAAAUAUACGUUAGCUGCAAAAGAUUGCUGUUCUCCAUGUACAGUAUAA